CUGUGCUAGGUGGGGAGCUAGCGGUGCCCUGUACCUUCAAUCCGCUACAGAAGGGCUGAACGCCUCAUUAGGUUUAUCCGGUGGGAUGCAGUUACCGCGUAAGUGACGUUGAUACCAAGGUCUUGUGCAACGAUAUACCGUGAACCGUGUCAGGGUGGGAACACAGCAGCACUAAGCGGACCAUACCGUGUGCCACGAGGUAGCUUUGGAGGAGUUAACUGCCGGGAGAACGGUCCGGUCGGGUAAAUCGACGGAGGAUGCACAG
rnacentral:SRP_RNA from 1 species